GGAACGGAAAAAUGCUGAACCAGCGAAGUUCCAUAAGAAAGUAGAGAAACUGACACGUGGCGCCCUCGUCAGACGCCGUCACCACACGACAAUUAACCAAGAUCAUCAAAAAUGAAUCAAACUUUCUUCAAAGUACCCCAAUAUAGUAUUCUUGACAAUUGGUAUAACCUGGGCUAGUACUACUUCCGUGUAGUACUAUAGAAUAUUCUCUGAUUAACUAUAAUUCAAACAACCUUUUCUCUUCUCUGUUCGGAAAUAGAAAAUUCUACAUUACUUUAACUGCUUUAUACUAAAGAAAUUGCGAACAAUCAUACACUUAUCGUUAUACCCUACAAUUAAUUUUCAGAGCGCGUUAAUAAUCGUCUUAAAUAGAAAUCCAUAAUGCUAAUUUUUUCUAGCCUGUUAUGUCAACUAUUUUUCUCAUUCGGUUUUUUCAUUGACACUCACGAUACAGAUUGAGAUCUCGUUUGUUACAAGUGCUCGCAGAGAUUUCUUCAGUGAGUUUAUAGUAGUUGGCCCGCCGUAGCAGAAACAUUCUAUGUGUCCACGGAGAAGGCUACAAAAUGAGAUCGCUGCUGGCCUCAGCGAAAGCGAGGAUGCGAUACUAACGUAGAGUGCAAACCCAAGCACUUUGACUUGGGCACAUGUUGUGCCAACUCAGCGAAAAUGCAAGCUCAUAUCAUCAAAAGGAGGAGAGGCAAGGAAGCGAGAUUAAGCCCUUGUUCGACAGCUGGCAACGUAUAUCAUACGUAAUACACGUACGGUUCGUAACAUGGAGGAGCAAUGUGUCGAGGAAGUGCGCUCAGAAAGAACAUUUUUAUUUAUUAUACAGUUCCGCGCAUGAAUAAACGAUUACGAUGAUGAAAUAUAUACCCAAUGUUACUAUGUUAAUUAUAAACUUUAGUUCCUCCUCGCACUCGCGAAUGAUUUUUACGAUAUGAAUUUGUAUUAUAAACUGAGGUUUUGUUAAAAUUUUAUCAAUUAACGAAUAGUACUUGGAGGACCCACACAUCAUAUUGUACGUAAUGUUUACAACUUAUAAGGUUCGCUUGUCAAUGUUCCUCACAGCAAUGAAAGCUUCUCAAAAGUUAUCAAAAGAUAUUCCAGAACGAGUUAAAAAUUCAUCGGGCUUUUAGAACGAACGUUUCGACUAAGCGGUCGAAUUCAACCCUUUAGCUUAAUCUCAGUGUGCAACAGAGUUUUUCGAGUUACAGAUACAACGAUGAAGGGUGGCGGAGAGGAAGGUGGUGAG